rnacentral:rRNA from 1 species
UAGGGAAUCUUCCACAAAUGGGCGAAGCCUGAUGGAGCAACGCCGCGUGUGUGAUGAAGGGUUUCGGCUCGUAAAACACUGUUGUAAGAGAAGAAUGACAUUGAGAGUAACUGUUCAAUGUGUGACGGUAUCUUACCAGAAAGGAACGGCUAAAUACGUGCCAG